UCCUUACGGUCUCCUGAAGCACUUCCCGACCUCAGACACCAGCUCUGCUGUGCCUCGGGCUCCGUAUCGAGCACUCCUUCAAGCAAGAACCCUCAGGAGGCCGGGAUUGAGUCUGGAAGCCUCUGAGCAUGGGUCGACUCGUCUCCGUCUCCCCGCAUCUGCGGCUCCAGAGUCACACGCAAACGUCAGGUGCGGGUGACUUGGGAAUGGACAUGAACAAGGAGUGGGAAGACCGUGGGUGGUGCCGAGGGCAGACUUGAUGUUGCAGAAUGUGGUCCAGUUUUUCAUCGCACCGCGUGGCCGUCCCCCAUGAAGAACACAGGGGGCGGGGCUCACAUUAAUCCAAGACUGAGGAUGGGCAGAUCGACACGGGUUCGGUUCCAGUCUGCCAAAUUGAGAACGUCAUCGCCUUCUUGGGGGACAUGGGAACCCAUCAAGAUCUGAAUGCGGAAGCAGAAGGUCUAGGAACACAUCCGCAGAAGGGAAUGUUAUUGUAAACACUGAAGUCCUAAUGACGGAUUUAGGAAUUGUCGACCUUAAAAGUGUAUUUCCCUCAUCCCUGAGGUUUCCUAUUUCUUUUGCAUUGAUCCAUGCUGAAGGGCACCUUUUCCUGGGCGCUCCCACUCAGAUGGAGAAACAGAGCAUGGACCAGUGCUCUAAGGACAGCACCUGUGAGUUGCAUUCCCAGGUCACCUGGGCAGCUUUGUGGAGGUUAAGCACUUGGAUUAAGGCAAAGGUCUGCUGGGCAAGGUUGUGUGGGGUAAUGGGACACUGAGACUUUAGCCUCAUGGCAGAAACAUGCUUUCUUCAGCUCAAAGUUCUGAGGUCUGGACUUGCCCAACCAGAGCACUGGAACAUCUGGAACCUAGUCUUGGCUCCCACCAGCACAUCAAGCCAAGAGGAGUCACAAGGCUUCCCCUCUCCUUUAGGCUGAGUUAGCUCUGGUGUCUUUGGUCCUUCGUCUCCUGGGUCUAAGAGCUCUCUAGUCGGUCCUGCGUCUCCCACAUCUCCCGACUGGACACUGGAGCUCGGGGCAGGGAAGGGAGGGUUGUCUGCAACUGAAACAAGAAAGUAGGAACCCACCAUCCUCCCCCUGCUGAUCCCCCCCACAGACUGAGCACGGACCCUGACUGCAGAGACUCGGACAGAACUGUGUUCAUGAAUGGAUACGGUGACCACUCUGACCGGCAGCAGCCCCACGGAGGUACUGGUGGGGUCCCAGCAGCUCUUGGAGUCAUGUGCAGUUCAACGGGCACAGCAAGGCGUGUGGAUACAAGAUGUUCUCUGCCCAGCUGUCCCCCAAAUCUAUGGCAGGAUCUGUAGGGAAGGGACACCCCCCUGCCCUUCCCUAUCCAACUGGAGAGCACAACCGCCCGUCUCAAGUCUCCCGAGAUUUCCUUCCUUUUUUUUUAAGAUUUUAUUUAUUUAUUUGACAGACAGAGAUCACAAGUAGGCAGAGAGGCAGGCAGAGAGUGAUAGAGGAGGAAGCAGGCUCCCUUCAGAGCAACGAGCCCGAUGUCGGGCUCGAUCCCAGGACCCUGGGAUCAUGACCUGAGCCGAAGGCAGAGGUUUUAACCCACUGAGCCACCCAGGUGCCCCCCGAGAUUUCCUUCUUUCAUUGCAACGCGUCCGUUACAUCCCCCGUUUGCCGAUCUGGCAAUUACUUGAAUGCGGGGUUAGAUUUGUUAGAAAGGUUUUCGGCGCUGACUACGGAACCAACCUAAUGUUAAAUUGUGCGCCGUUUUGUUUUUGUUUUUCCCCUUCUGGGGGACGUGAUGCCUAGGUUUUGCUUUUUUAAAUUAGAUGAGUAAUUUCAAAGAUGAAGAACCUGUCCCGAGAUUUCCUCGUGAAGCUCGGGGUUUGAUCAAGCUCGGCAGGCUGGUUCGGUCAACGUCAUGACUCAGCCAGGUUCUGUCUCGAUGACUGGCUUUCUUGGAGCCUCAGCCGGGUCCUCACGGCUGCUCAGCCCGCGGUCACACACCGUCACACUCCAGGGCGACGCUCCGGGCCUCAGCAAUCCAUGUCAGCUCUUCCAGCCUCGUCCCCUGCUUGUCCUCCAGGCAGAGAACCACGCGUGCGGCUCGAGAACCCGCCGGAGAACCCUCCAGCUUCCCCACUCACCCCCGUCAAGUCUUCACCUUCCUGCUCUCAUUUACAACCCACCUUGCGGGCGACCUGUGGUCAAUGCUGGUCCUCUCUUCGUGCUUUUGAUUCUCUCCUGUCCUGCCUCUCCUCUCGCUCUGUCAGCCUCCCCUCCGGUAUCUUCCGUGUUUCCCGUGUCCUACCUCCCUGCCUGCAGAAAGACCAAGUCUCCUCUGCCUCAGAAAAGAAACCCCCUUCCCCGGAACACAAAAUAGAGGGCUGUGUCUCUCUACCACUCACCAUCGGUGGUUCCAAACCACAUCCGACCCCCGGGUGUGAGCGGAGCAGAGUUCCACCGGAAUUCAUGAUCACUCAGAACCUCCGAACGUGACCUGACUCAGAAAGAGAACCUUUGAAGAAUUAAUUAGUUAAGAAUCUCCAGAUAUAAUCAUCACGGACUUAAGGUUAGGACAACGGCGGGCUCUGACUCUCGUCACCUCCUGUCUGUCGGUCCGUGGCGAUGGCCUUCCUCGACCCUGUCUGACCCUUCCCGCUGCGGCUCCCGGGACACUUCUAAAACACAGGCUACUUCUCUGAUGGAAAGUCCCAGACGGCUGCCCACUGUCUGGCCCAGCCAUUCUCUGAUUCUUCCACAACGCCAUCCCAAUAUGGAUGGUCUCGUUUUCUGUUAUACCUCUGAACCCCACCCACGCGCCCCCAGAGCUGCUUCCCAACCUUUGGGUCAUUAUUGUCCCCCUCCCCAAAUCUUUUUAGACAUUUUUUCCCCUAAUUAUGGCACCCAGGAAAUUUUAAUAGCACAAGGACACAUUUGUCAUAUUGUGGGCCCCUUUGGAGAGCCGCAAACCACCGGGAUGCCUGAAGUUGUUUUGUCCCCCAAAGCCAGUUUUCACAUCCUUGGAGGUGAGAUCCCUCUGUGUCCAGGACGGAGAAGGCAUGAGCAAGGGGGCGAAUCCGAACCAGAGUCGGAUUUCUUCUCUGAGACACACCUGCCGUGUGACUACUGAGAAGUCGUUCAAACCCCCGGUCGUCGGAGAUCCCCGCGCAGGCAGAGCGGCCUUCCUGGCGCCCACCUCACCCACCAUCUGCCCAUUCCCGUCUCCUUCCCUUUCACGGGCCGGUGCCAGGAGCACUGCCCGGUCCACCUCCUACAGGCUUAUCUCUGGCUCAGAGACGCAGUCUGCUUCCUGGGGACACCGAGCAGACAAUGUCCCAUUUACUGCCUGGCACAGGGGUGGGGCUCCACGGGUGGGGAUUCUCUCCCCCGGAAUCUGGCCGGCGUCCUGCCUGCCAUUGACACAGCCUGUCCCUACACGCUCUGGACCCUGUCUCUGGCUCCGGAGGGACUCUGUCUGCGGAGCCCUUCCCCGGGGUGGAGCGUGAGCACGCCCCGGACGCCCCCAGCCUGUCCUGUUUGCCUGCACCAGCACUUCCCCCACGCCUGCACGGACCGGGAACAGCAUGGGUGCUGAGUGAACAGACACGUCUGCCAGCCUCCCGGGAUGCCGCCCUGUGGUCGGAGGCCGGGCCCACCUUCCCGGGGCGCGUUCCAGGUUACAGAACGGGCAUCACCUCUGGACUCCGAGUCCCGCCCCAGCGCUUUCUUUUCUGUCCCACCAAACCCAUGUAUCUGAGCAGCACCACGCUCGGGUUUGGUGAGAGGCCACGGCGGGGAAGGCUUUGAACGCUCGGACUUCGUACUUGGCUGGUGGCCAAGUCUUCCAACGCUUCAGGAACAAGGCAGGGUCAGGAGUAAGACGGUGGCAUGGGAUUUAGACAGGGGAGAGUCACGUGACCGGUGGCCUUGGAGGAAAGCGGCUGCCAGGGACUCCCUACUGAAACUGGAAUUUCCUGGGGGAGUUUUACCCACGAACUCCUGGGUCCUACCCCCAGAGAUUGUGAUUAUCGCUCUGGGGUGGGGGUGCCCUGGGCUCUGGAAGUUCAAAGAAAUACUCAGAGUUUUAAUGGGUCGUCAGGUCUGAGAACCACCGGGCUAUGGAUGAAGUGGAGGUCGUGCGUGUGGACAGCUCUUUCCAAAAGCCUGGCGGUGAAGGGACACAGGCACAGAAGCCUGAGGGACAGGAGGGUGCCAGGAAGGUGAGGGUUGGUUGGUUUGUUUGUUUACAAGGUGGGGAAACUUGGAAAUCUUUGUUGGCUGAAGGAAAGACUCCAGGGCAUGGUAGAGAUGAAAGCUGAUAGUGUGAGAAGUUUCUAGAAUAAUCCUGGAGGGGAUGGGUGAGUGGCAGUAGUAGGGGGAUGUGUCUUAGGAGGAGAAAAUACCUAUUCUUUGUACUGAACUCUGCUUAGAAUGACCUCUCGUUCCUUCCGAGCCCAGCUCAGCGCAGCUGUCUACCGCCAACCCCACACGGGAGCGAAUUAUUCUGUAUUCUUGGAGCACUUUCUACAUUUCUCCUGUCAUGGUUAUCAUGAGGGUUAUAUAACAUCCGCAAGAGACAUUUCUGUAAGAAUCUUAGCCUCAUUCAACUUUGUGACCUCUUUGGAAGUUCCGUGCAGUUCCUGGAAAAUACUCUAUUUAUUUAAGUGGAUCACUCCCCACCUUUUUACAGAAAUGAUUUCAGAAAGCUUACAGGGGUAUGGAAAUUUUAAGUUAGCAUAAAAGCAGGGGGUUAAAAAUAAAGGGAAAAAAGAAAACAGAAAGGCCAAAGAACAGAAUACAGAAGAAACCAUACUUGCAAAAUGUCACCUGCAUGUCACCUUCAAAAAGCGCAGCCGAUGGCUCUGGGCUUUCUGGUCCAGCCAACAUGAAAGGCUGGAAUCUGGACCGUGAGACAGUGUGGUUGGAAGUGAGCGGAUGACAGGGGACGACUCGUCCCUCAAGUCUUUUUGGCAUCCAGCUUCAAAGCAAACUUCUCCCAACGGGUUCUAAUAAAGACGAUUUUCUGUGUCCUGAUGAAAAAUA